UUUAUUUAAUAAAUUACCUUCUAGGAAGUAAAAAGUGUAUCAUAGCAUUGCCCUAGGCAAUCUUAACAAAAAUUCAACAUAAUCUCUUAUAGAAUUAGAGUUGUAAAAUCAUACAUAUAAAAAUCCACAAGACUAUAGGAGUAGAUAACCACAAGACUAUACCAAAUCCUACCAGCAGGACAUCGAAACCAAGGAGCAAAAUUAGAAACAGACUUUGCAAUUCCUAGGCUGGAACGGCGAUGCGUUGGUGACACAAGGCGCGGCGACAGAGAGCUGGCAGCUGAUCUUAGCCUUGGGCCCACGGACCUUGAACGCCCAGACCUUGACCCUGAGCUUGGCGUUGAGAUCCACACGCUGCGGCUGGUGGCUGCGGCGCUGGCGCUCUGCGCGAGGACGGGGGCGAGCGGGCUGCUGCACCUGCGGCGCUGGCGCGCACGCGACGUCACGAUGAUGGGCGUUAGGGCAGGCGACUGUGGCGGCAGCGCUGCAUGACUCGUGAGGACUGAGGACGAAACUUGGGCU
rnacentral:lncRNA from 1 species